GGGAGAAAUCAAGCGUUCUGACAUACAAAACCACAGAGUCGCUUUCGAUGUUUUGUUUUGCAGUACGACUAGUGUGACUUCCGUGAGGGCUCAUACCUUUGGACAGUUUUCCUCAUUGCAGCAGGAACAUGGGGAUCCGCAGAAGAGAAGUGCCUAAGAGCGGGGGACUGGUGAAGAGAGAGACAACAAAGAAGAGAAUUAACAAAGAGGAUCUGAUUACAUAAAGUGUUGCAGUGCAUUUCGGCUGAGAGCAUACAGUAUAUGCCUGAGUGAUGCUGCAUUAAACAGUGAUAAAGUCACGGCAAAAACAGCA